GAUGAACGCUGGCGGCGUGCCUAAUACAUGCAAGUCGAGCGAACAGACGAGGAGCUUGCUCCUCUGACGUUAGCGGCGGACGGGUGAGUAACACGUGGAUAACCUACCUAUAAGACUUGGAUAACUUCGGGAAACCGGAGCUAAUACCGGAUAAUAUUUUGAACCGCAUGGUUCAAUAGUGAAAGACGGUUUUGCUGUCACUUAUAGAUGGAUCCGCGCCGCAUUAGCUAGUUGGUAAGGUAACGGCUUACCAAGGCAACGAUGCGUAGCCGACCUGAGAGGGUGAUCGGCCACACUGGAACUGAGACACGGUCCAGACUCCUACGGGAGGCAGCAGUAGGGAAUCUUCCGCAAUGGGCGAAAGCCUGACGGAGCAACGCCGCGUGAGUGAUGAAGGUCUUCGGAUCGUAAAACUCUGUUAUUAGGGAAGAACAAAUGUGUAAGUAACUAUGCACGUCUUGACGGUACCUAAUCAGAAAGCCACGGCUAACUACGUG
rnacentral:rRNA from 1 species